rnacentral:misc_RNA from 1 species
GUGAAGAACGUAGUGAAAUGCGAUAAGUAAUGUGAAUUGCAGAAUUCAGUGAAUCAUCGAAUCUUUGAACGCAUCUUGCGCUCCUUGGUAUUCCGAGGAGCAUGCCUGUUUGAGUGUCAUUUUAACUUCUCAACCAUAUCGAAUUGUUUUUCGAGGUGGCUUGGACAUGGGGGUUUUUGCAGGCUUUAAUAAUGAAGUCGGCUCCUCUGAAAUGCAUUAGUGGUAUCUGAAGCAGAACUGCUACUAUUAGGUGUGAUAAUUAUCUAUGCCUCUUGGUAUACUGCAUGAACAGAUUGCGCUGCUUCCAACUUGUACACCCUUUGGUGUUUGACAAAUUUGACCUCAAAUCAGGUAGGACUACCCGCUGAACUUAAGCAUAUCAAUAAGCGGAGGA